rnacentral:rRNA from 1 species
UAUACGACCGUACCGCAAACCGGCACUGGUGCGCGAGAUGAGUAUUCUAAGGCGCUUGAGAGAACUCAGGAGAAGGAACUCGGCAAAUUGACACCGUAACUUCGGAAGAAGGUGUGCCCUAUUAGUGUGUAGUGAACAACGAAGCAUGAAUGGGUUGCAAAAAAUCGGUGGCUGCGACUGUUUAUUAAAAACACAGCACUCUGCAAACACGAAAGUGGACGUAUAGGGUGUGACGCCUGCCCGGUGCUGGAAGAUUAAAUGAUGGGGUGCAAGCUCUUGAUUGAAGUCCCAGUAAACGGCGGCCGUAACAAUAACGGUCCUAAGGUAGCGAAAUUCCUUGUCGGGUAAGUUCCGACCUGCACGAAUGGCGUAACGAUGGCCACACUGUCUCCUCCUGAGACUCAGCGAAGUUGAAAUGUUUUGUGAUGAUGCAAUCUCCCCGCGGAAAGACGGAAAGACCCCAUGAACCUUUACUGUAGCUUUGUAUUGGACUUUGAACAGAUCUGUGUAGGAUAGGUGGGAGGCUUUGAAGCAGGGUCGCUAGAUCUUGUGGAGCCAACGUUGAAAUACCACCCUGGUGUGUUUGAGGUUCUAACCUAGGUCCAUUAUCUGGAUCGGGGACAGUGCAUGGUAGGCAGUUUGACUGGGGCGGUCUCCUCCCAAAGCGUAACGGAGGAGUUCGAAGGUACGCUAGUUACGGUCGGACAUCGUGACGAUAGUGCAAUGGCAUAAGCGUGCUUAACUGCGAGACUGACAAGUCGAGCAGAUGCGAAAGCAGGACAUAGUGAUCCGGUGGUUCUGUAUGGAAGGGCCAUCGCUCAACGGAUAAAAGGUACUCUGGGGAUAACAGGCUGAUACCGCCCAAGAGUUCAUAUCGACGGCGGUGUUUGGCACCUCGAUGUCGGCUCAUCUCAUCCUGGGGCUGUAGCCGGUCCCAAGGGUAUGGCUGUUCGCCAUUUAAAGAGGUACGUGAGCUGGGUUUAAAACGUCGUGAGACAGUUUGGUCCCUAUCUUCCGUGGGCGCUGCAGAUUUGAGGAAGCCUGCUCCUAGUACGAGAGGACCGGAGUGGACACACCCCUGGUGUAUCGGUUGUCACGCCAGUGGCAUUGCCGAGUAGCUAAGUGUGGAAGAGAUAACCGCUGAAAGCAUCUGAGCGGGAAACUCGUUUCAAGAUGAGAUCUGCCGGGGCCUUGAGCCCCCUAAAGAGUCGUUCAAGACCAGGACGUUGAUAGGUCAGGUGUGGAAGC